rnacentral:rRNA from 14 species
CUGAAGAGUUUGAUCCUGGCUCAGAUUGAACGCUGGCGGUAUGCCUAACACAUGCAAGUCGAACGAGGUAGCAAUACCUAGUGGCGGACGGGUGAGGAAUACGUAGGGAUCUGCCUUUAAGUGGGGGAUAACCCGGGGAAACCCGGAUUAAUACCGCAUGAUCUCGCAAGAGCAAAGUGGGGGAUCGCAAGACCUCACGCUUUUAGAGGAACCUACGUCGGAUUAGCUUGUUGGUGAGGUAAUGGCUCACCAAGGCGACGACGGGUAGCCGGCCUGAGAGGGCGACCGGCCACACUGGGACUGAGACACGGCCCAGACUCCUAC